UCUGUCUCUUUUAAAAGUCUAGGUCUUGUAUAAAUAAUCUAUGUGUAUGUGUAUUAUUGCAGUUGUGUUCACCUGCCUUACUCGGUUACCUCGUCAUUCCAAGAAUGUCAUCCAUCAUGCACAUUGCACAGUUGGCCAAUUCAAACAUUGUAUAGUAUCUUGAUUUUCCCUGUAUACAAUGCUCCACUCUCACUCAGUUUGCUUUGUUUUAUUCCUAAUAUACCAGUUAAUGUUUUACCCUAAAUGCAGUAACUGUCAUGCUUAUAUGACCCAACAGGCAGAAUAUAAAUGUAAAAAAAGAGGGACAGAGAAAGUAGCUAUACCAGUCCUUAGAGUGGACAGGUUGAACAAACUUAAAAUUUUUUACAAAAGUCAAAGCCGGUUCCAGGAAGCAAGUAAAACAUAACAGUAAG